CCAGCCACCUCAUCCCCAUCCCAUGGCCCAGCCCGCCUCUGGCCUGGCGCCAAACUGCCCCGUGAGCCGGCCACAGGGGAUGACACCUUAGGGAGCGCAGCCGCCUAAUGCCAGGAAUGAACAGGCCUGGCAAGAGAUAGUGGGAGCCCUGUUCCAUCCUUCUGUUGUAGGCACAGUUUUUGGGUGGGGACGGUGGCACCCUCCCUGAACACAGGAGCUGUGGCCUGGCUACAGCGGGCGAGGCAAGGAGUCUUAUUCGCUCCCCCACAUGCAUCUCCUUCAUGCAUUCAUACACAGUUCAUUCAAAAUAAUUAUUUCUAGCUCCCCUGCUGCUGUGUGAAAUGCCCAGGCUGCCAGAGGGAAUUGAUUAUAGACACAAAUUGCUUUCACAUGCGGAAAGUAAACAAAUGGAAAAGACUCCUAGACCAGCAGAAGGGCCACUGAGGAUUGCCAGAGAGGUGAGGGACGCUGCUGGAGAGAUGGUUGAGCAGCUUCUACAGAUGAAGGAAGAGAUCUAUGUAUGAAGGCAUAUGUAUGAACAGGGUAUACAAUCUCCUCUCCCUCUUUAUAUUGGGAGUCAUCAGUCCUUUUUCGGAUCUUCCUUGAUAGAAAUCCAGUGCAGAGAAGUGAAGCAGGAAAUGACUUCCUGCCAACUCUCCUGAGGCUGCAGCCUGCAGGUAAGACUCCCUGAUCUCCUGCUCCCCCCAUAACCCUCUCUGCAGACAGACUGUCCCCCCCCAAUUUGCCACCCCCUGUGUGGAGGGGAGGUGCCAGACCCAGUGCUAGACUGCCAGACCCAGUGCUAGACUGCCCAACCCUAUGGCCCCGUGUCACUGGGGGCCCCUGUGCUAGGCUAUGGUAUGUUUCAUUAUGUUUCAUUGUAAAUCUACCCGAGCGGAACUGAAAAUAUCUAAAGAAAGAUGGCAGAGCUAUUAAAUACCAAUGGAGUUAUA